rnacentral:rRNA from 1 species
AUUGAACGCUGGCGGCAGGCCUAACACAUGCAAGUCGAGCGAGCGGCGGACGGGUGAGUAAUGUAUGGGGACUGCCCGAUAGAGGGGGAUAACUACUGGAAACGGUAGCUAAUACCGCAUACUAUCGGAUAACCCAUAUGGGAUUAGCUAGUAGGUGGGGUAAUGGCUCACCUAGGCGACGAUCCCUAGCUGUUCUGAGAGGCUGAUCAGCCACACUGGGAUUGAGACACGGCCCAGACUCCGACGGCGGCAGCAGUGGGGAAUAUUGCACAAAGGGCGCAAGCCUGAUGCAGCAAUGCCGCGGGUAUGAAGAAGGCCUUAGGGUUGUAAAGUACUUUCAGUGGGGAGGCGUUACCGACAGAAGAAGCACCGGCUAACUCCGUGCCAGCAGCCGCGGUAAUAC